UACCUGGGGUGCAAACGUUGCUCGGAAUCAUUGGGCGUAAAGCGCGCGUAGGCGGUUACUUAAGUCGAAUGUGAAAGCCCUCGGCUUAACCGAGGAAGUGCAUCCGAAACUGAGUAGCUAGAGUACGAAAGAGGGUCGCGGAAUUCCCGGUGUAGAGGUGAAAUUCGUAGAUAUCGGGAGGAACACCGGUGGCGAAGGCGGCGACCUGGGUCGAGACUGACGCUGAGGCGCGAAAGCCAGGGGAGCAAACGGG
rnacentral:rRNA from 1 species